GGAGGGUUAGCUCAGCUGGGAGAGCACCUGCCUUACAAGCAGGGGGUCGGCGGUUCGAUCCCGUCACCCUCCACCA
rnacentral:tRNA from 4 species